rfam:Schistosoma mansoni strain Puerto Rico chromosome 7, complete genome
AACUUUGAACGGUGGAUCAUUCGGCUCGUGUGUCGAUAAAGAGUGCAGCCAACUGUAUGAAUUAAUGUGAACUGCAUACUGCUUUGAACAUAGACAUCUUGAACGCAUAUUGCGGCUACGGGAUAUCCUGUGGCCACGCCUGUCUGAGGGUCG